CGCGCAGCAGACACACUCCGGGACACCAGCCGGGGAUGAGGAAGAUGAAGAUGAAGAUGAGGACGGAAGAUCAAGGAAUAGAGAGUAAAGAGCGCUCGGACUCUCCCCGGGAAGAGAAAAAGCAGUAACGGACGUCUCUCAGUAAGGUGACUCGGACCUGUUCAAACCCUUUACUAGAGGAAAGGAAUGAAAUGCAGAAAAGAUCUCAGGUGUCGACUUGGAGCUACAGAAUCUUCACAUUACAGCAUGGGCCCUGCUUCUCCAUGGUCAGGGUGAGAACCUGCAAGGUGCUGCGGGUGUGACGAAGAGCACUCAGCUGAUGUUUCACAUGAAAUGAACGAUGUCAAAAGAAAACCAUGUGAUGAUGUCACCAGGAGACCGCCGGCCAAUCACAUGCAGAGCAGCUAGCUUCUCCGAGCCACCAGUUUCCACCAACUCUUCUCAAUUACAUCAUUCUAAGAACUUUCUUAUCAUCAUCAUCUGAACCACACACAGCCCUGCCUUCAGAGUUUAGGCCACACCCACUAUCUGUUUGUUCAGUGUAAAAUUCCAGUUAAACUUGUGGUCUCUAUGAGGUUUUGUUCAGCCUGACUUUACACAAAUGUCUAAACAGAGAUGAAGAGGAUGGGGAGAUUCGAGACGAACCACGAGACGAACCACAAACAAUUGAGUCGCAGCAGCGUUGAUCUUCACCCUGAUUUUGGAAACAAUCUGACAGCCAAUGAGCUCCUGCCAAACAAAUUAACUUGUGCAGAAACUUCUAUAAAAUUCUUCUACAGAUUCUUCUACAGAUGCACUAUGGAGAGCAUCCUAAACGUCUGGUAUGGCAGCUACACUAUACUAGAUUACCAGGUCUUACAGAGGGCUCCAGGUCUUGCAGGUUAUUUACCACACACAGUGUGUGAGGAAGGUUUAAAAAAUCCCAGCUGAUCCCCUUCACCCAGCGCACAGACUGUUCAACAAACCACCAUCAGGCAGACGCUACCAGAGUUUUCAUUCCAGAACCAACAGGCUGAAGAACAGUUUUUACCUUCAGACUAUCAGAAUCAUUAACACACUGUAAUACAAUCUCAACUCAGACCACAGCUGCCAGCAGACUCUGUUAUACAUUUCAUACAUAUUUGCACUGUUUUACACACCGGAGCUGCACAACUCCUAAUUCUCAGAUCUCUACAUCCCACUGCACUCUGUACUAUUGCACCUCACUUGCACAUUGCGUAUCUUUGCGUAUUUUUGUACACCUAAUCUAAUAUAUACACUUGUUAUCCUCGGUCUUACAUAUUUUUUAUUAAGAAAUACC